AAAUAGUGUUAACUCUUGUAACGAAAUUACGCGUAAAAAAACAACAGAGAAUAAAAACACACUGAAAAAACAACCCUUGUACUUUUUGGAAUAUCCCAAUUAGCUUCACCAAGUGAGAAGUUGCGCGUGGAGCAGCGAUUUUGACAGUCAUCGGUUUCACUUCAAGCGGGGAAAGUUUGCGCGGCAGUGUGUUUAAUUUAUUCGGUUUUAACGGUUUUAGAAAUGGAUAUCCAGAAACAAAGAAACGGAUGUCAGACGGCCGCAAGUUUGAAGCUGUCAAAUGGUUAUAUUUUACCUGAAGGUAAAAUGACUCCAAACACACUUUUUGUAGGAGGAAUCGACAUGAAGGUGGAUGAGAACGAAAUCCGGGACUUCUUUGCGAGAUUUGGUGCCGUGAAGGAAGUGAAAAUCAUCACUUACCGUGGAGGUAUCUGCAAAGGAUAUGGAUUUGUUUACUUCAAUGAAGAUGUCGACAUCCAAACCAUCGUUGAACAACAGAUCAGUUUUAAAGGGAGGAAACUCAAACUGGGUCCAGCAAUCAUGAAGGAAAGGAGCUCACGUUCCAUGCCGUCUCACCUUGUUGGUCAGGCCCCCUGGAUAAGCCCCUCCCAGUACAUCUACUGCACCUGCUGCUAUCCUAUGGGAGGGGGCAUGGCUCAGCCUUCGCCUGUACUCAAUGGGGGCAAUCCCUACAUCCAGCCUUACUCGUACAACGGCUUUCCAGGAGUCAUGAUGCCACAGAUGCCCAUGAGCUACUCGCAAACUGCUUACGCAUACCAGUACGCCUCUCCACACUGGAGCGGGGAGCAGAGGACACGGCUCGUCAACCAGCCGGCUCAUUAUGUGAUGUGAUGUGGUGCCCCGUUUCCAGAACUUUGUGGACUGUGGAGUCCCGACUCUGCUGACUCUGCUGUAGUCCACUGUACCAGGGGGCGACGUCUCCAUGCAGACUGGCGCACAAGGUGACAUACUGGCCUUUAGAGCGCUAGAAGCAACAGACUUUAAAAUAUAUACAUUUUCAGGAUGCUUUCUCUCUCCGACAUCCCUCACUCGCUUUGAGACCGCGGUGGCUCGACACCUGCACCCGAUGGGCGUGGUCACUGUGACCGGGCUCUGAUUGGCUUGGCUAGGACCACGGUCCUGGCGUUUGGGCCGCUUUCAACCCACCUCAACCACUGUCAUGCAGGGAAGGGAGGAAGUGAUUUUGGAGCUUCAGCUUGUCCACAGCACAGGGCAUGGUGGUGUCACCCCCCCUUUUUUUUUUUUUGUCGUCGUUUGGGAUUUUCAUGUUUUUUUUUUUUAUUGUCCCAAACCCCCAAAAAGAAAAUACUUUUAAGCUCAUCUGUACAUAUUUAUAUUUUAUGUUUUAAUAUUUAUGUUGAAAUUAUUUUAAUUUUACUUUGGGUGUAAGCUUUUUGCUGGGCCUCUGUACAUAUAUUUGUAAUGCAACAAAUUCAUCUUUAGAAUAUUGUUAGUUCCGAUUUAACUUUUUCUAUUAUUAAUUCAAGUUUCCAUCCCCAUAUUCUUCUGAUUUAAGAAACUAAUGCAUCAAAUUAUUAUGGGGGCAGAAUUGGGUACAACACUGGCACAUUAUUCUUCAGGCACUCCUGUUACCUUAGUGCUCUUUUAUUUCAUUUCUUGACAGGUUCCUGUCUUAAUAAGCUACUUCAAUCACCUUUUUAUUUUGAUUUACAUCACUGAAUUAGAAGUGCCUGCCUGCUUUUCUGUUAAGAGGGGUUUAUUGAAUCGAUGUUAUAGUGUAUUUACAAUUGGGAUGCACUGAUUUCAUCUCGAGUGUUGCUGUUUCCAAAGUUAUGGAUCCUUUUAUUGUGGCCAAUGUUUCUUAGGGUGUGUCCCAAAUGGCACCCUUGUCCCUAUUUAGUGCACUACUUUUGACUAGGAUCCUGAGCAAAAGUAGUGAACUAUAUAGGGAAUAUGGUGUUAUUUGGGAUGCAGACCUUCGAGUGUUGCCGUUUCCAAAGUUAUGGAUCCUGUGGCCAAUGUUUCUUAGACGGUUCCAGCUCUUGCAGUACGUCGCCAAGAGGAAAAUCAUUGAGUCAAUUUCACCUGAAGGUGUUGAUAAACUACUUUUAUAAUGCAGCCUGGGUUGGGAAACCUGUUUUAAUUCACUCUGAAAUGAAGGACAUAACUAAAAGCAAUGCGUUCCAUCACUACUGGUGUAAGUUCUCUUAAAAAGGUCACUUUAUAUAUAUAUUUUUUUUAUUGCACUGAUUGAUUUGUUCACAGUCUGUUUUAUACGAAUGUUUUGCUUUCUUUUUAGAGGUGGUGUGAUUUUAUUUAUUUAUGACGCAUUAACACCGUCUUUUCAAUUUGAUUAUAAUCACUUUUCAGCCCGACGGGUUAACUGGUUGCAUUUAAAAGUGAUAAACACAUUUAGCAUUUGAAGAUAUUCAUUAUUUUGAUAUCAGUUGAGAUCUAUUUUUUGACUCCCGGUCUUUGUCUUCUAGGCCAGCGUUUCCCAAACUCGGUCCUGG